GCUUGGCUACGGCUCUUUGCUGGAGCCUGCCCGGCGCAGUUCGCGUGAUUAAGCAAAUGCCUUUCCUGGUGCUAGUAGGAACUCUCACCACCACCACCCCCAUUCCCCUCCAACCUUUGCUAGAGGAGAGAAGCCAGAGCCUGGAGGCCAAGUCCUUCAAACUCCAUUGCGACUCCUCCCGGCAGGGCGCGGCCUAAAGCCCACGGCGGAACGCUGGACUUAGACCAGGGAUGUCAGCAGGUCUGUCUGUCGGAGCAGAGGCUCUCCGGAAAAGGAAUACAGCUGGCAUCAAUCAGAUCCACAUCCCUGAGAGGACUGCAUCAACUCUUUUGGAAACUGUCUUCCCACCUUGAUGCCCUGCGCUGUGCAGCUUCUGAAAAUGACACACAGGGAACUUCACCCUGACCAGGAAAAUCAAGGCUCUGAGAACUAGUUUAUUUUCUUGGAACAGAUAUGUUUUUCCCUAGUGCCAUAGAAAACAAUACAUAUAAAUAAAAAGGCAGUGUUUCUGUGGAAAAUAAAAGUACAUAAAUAAAUACUAAAAAAAAAAAUGGAAA
rnacentral:lncRNA from 1 species